ACCUGGAUGGCUCAGUUGGUUGAGCAUAUGACUCUUGUUUUUGGCUAAGGUCAUGAUCUCAUGGUUCGUGGGUUCCAGCCCCACUUCAGGCU
rnacentral:tRNA from 1 species